rnacentral:rRNA from 1 species
CGUCUAUAUACGUAUAGCAUAUCAAUAAGCGGAGGAAAAGAAACUAACAAGGAUUCCCUUAGUAACGGCGAGUGAAGCGGGAAGAACUCAAAUUUGAAAUCUUCAAGGUUCUACCUUGACGAAUUGUAGUUUAUAGAAGUGUUUUCUGUUAGUAGAGUGGCAAAAGUUCUUUGGAAUAGGACAUCAUAGAGGGUGAGAAUCCCGUAUUUGACCAUUAUUUCCAACUUUGUGAUACACUUUCAAAGAGUCGGAUUGUUUGGGAAUGCAGUCCAAAAUGGGUGGUAAAUUUCAUCUAAAGCUAAAUACUGGCGAGAGACCGAUAGCGAACAAGUACCGUGAGGGAAAGAUGAAAAGAACUUUGAAAGGAGAGUUAAACAGUACGUGAAAUUGUCAAAAGGGAAGCGUUUGACACCAGUGUUGUUUUCUCGAAAAUCAAUUAAAAAUGGUGGGAUGUUGUGUUGUAUUGACUUUAUCAGCAUUUCUGCACUUUUUUUCCUAUCUUUUUUAAUGCACUUUUCGUUUAACAAGUCAACAUCAAUUUCUUUUGUUGUAAAAGAGUCAUUGGAAGGUGGCUUUCCUUUCGGAGAAAGUGUUUAUAGCCUUUGGCCUCUGCAAUCGGAGAGAUUGAGGUCUGCAGCGUAGAUCCUUCGGGGUUAGAUAGCAUUUGUGCUAAGUUAUAGCCUUUCAUAGACAACUUGUUGACUAUGAUUAGUCAUUGUAGCUUACUCGCUUAUGCUAUUUUACCUACGCUUAGGAUGUUGACGAGACUGUCGAUCUC